GGAGUAAACUUACUUUGCUGUCACCUCUACACUAAAUGGAAUAUGGUACUCAAAGCCACCGUGUUACCAAAGAAUGCUCCAGAAAUAUUUUAUAAUUUUCAACAUGAAGUCCAGAAAUAAUCAUCAAGUAAGCAUGGAUUUGGAGUUUAUUCACUGGGGACUAUCCUGAUACCUGAAAAGGAUUAAGUAGGAAUCUUGAAACUCUAUCAAUUUGUGCCAAAACACAUCGCUUUUCCUUUGGAUUCAUAAGGCUGAAGAUACCGUCUCCAGUCGGGUGCUAUUAAAUCCGCACCCCUCUAUGCUCCCUGCUGCCUGGCCUGGGGCUUCCCUGUGGAGACCCCUGCGGCAGGCUAUGCCUCCUCUUCCUGGGAAUUGUGAGUAACAAACUAUCUUUUCAAUGGCAGUUACCUUCUCACCUAGUGGCCUCAGCUACAUGAAUAAUAAUAAAACCUACAUUUUAAGAUAAAUGCAUCCUCAACCCUGGAUAGAGAAAUUCAGGCAGCCUUUCCCUGCCCUUCUCUUUACCCUGCCAUCAUGGGCUCAUCAAGUAAGACUCACUGCAUACUCCCAGGGCAAGAAGAAUGCCUU